UCCGGUUGAUCCCGCCGGACCUGACUGCUAUCGGAUUGAUACUAAGCCAUGCUAGUCUUUGUAGUAAUACAAGGCAUACGGCUCAGUAACGCGUAGUCAACCUACCCUAUGGACGGGGAUAAUCUCGGGAAACUGAGCAUAAUACCCGGCAGACCACUUAUCCUGGAAUGGUUAGUGGUUAAAAUGAUUCGUCGCCAUAGGAUGGGACUGCGGCCUAUCAGCUUGUUGGUGAGGUAAUGGCCCACCAAGGCGAUUACAGGUACGGGCUCUGAGAGGAGAGGCCCGGAGAUGGGUACUGAGACAAGGACCCAGGCCCUAUGGGGCGCAGCAGGCGAGAAAACUUUGCAAUGUGCGAAAGCACGACAAGGUUAAUCCGAGUGAUUUCUGCUAAAGGAAUCUUUUGUUAGUUCUAAAAAUACUAGUGAAUAAGGGGUGGGCAAGUUCUGGUGUCAGCCGCCGCGGUAAAACCAGCACCUCAAGUGGUCAGGAGGAUUAUUGGGCCUAAAGCAUCCGUAGCCUGUUCUAUAAGUUUGCGGUUAAAUCUAUACGCUCAACGUAUAGGCUGCCGUAAAUACUGUAGAACUAGGGAGUGGGAGAGGUAGACGGUACUCGAUAGGAAGGGGUAAAAUCCUUUGAUCUAUUGAUGACCACCUGUGGCGAAGGCGGUCUACCAGAACACGUUCGACGGUGAGGGAUGAAAGCUGGGGGAGCAAACCGGAUUAGAUACCCGGGUAGUCCCAGCUGUAAACGAUGCAGACUCGAUGAUGCAAUGGCAUAGAGCUAUUGCAGUAUCGCAGGGAAGCCGUUAAGUUUGCCGCCUGGGAAGUACGUACGCAAGUAUGAAACUUAAAGGAAUUGGCGGGGGAGCACCACAAGGGGUGAAGCCUGCGGUUCAAUUGGAUUCAACGCCGGA
rnacentral:rRNA from 1 species